UGGUUUCAGUUCCUGAACUGGGUGAUGCAUUGUGUUCUUAAGCCAAAGAUUUCAUUUCAUGCUGCCCCAGUUAGCUGCAAAUGAG